CUUCCCUGUCUCGGGGCCCUGCUGGCCCCCAACCCCAUCAGCCCUUUGAUCAGGGGCUGGAUAACCAUUCCAGAUUCUUCUUUUCCUAAAAACCACAUUGAAAAGCCUGGUAUUGGGACAGAGAGGAAACAGCAGGUUCAAGACGGUCGUCUGGUAGUGACCUCAGACCUGUUCUCUGCAACUGCUGGCCUGGUAUGAAGCUGUACCCUGAGUCACAGGAGGAGGAAGACAGAGACAAAAGAACACAAGUGCCUGACUUAAGCUUGGAUGGCCAAGGCAUCCAUUUCAAGGGGGCAUUUCAUCUGGAAGAAACACACGGCCCGCCACACUGCCUCCAUUGAGACUCCUUUGGGCCAGAGAUCUUGGCUGAUGUUGAUAACUGACCCUUUGUGCCAUUUGUUUUUUUCCUCUCCCCAUCCUUCAAUCUCUUGUUCUUAUGUUUUAAACUUACCAAUAAAGG